rnacentral:rRNA from 1 species
GACGAACGCUGGCGGCGUGCUUAACACAUGCAAGUCGAACGGAAAGGCCCUGCUUUUGUGGGGUGCUCGAGUGGCGAACGGGUGAGUAACACGUGAGUAACCUGCCCUUGACUUUGGGAUAACUUCAGGAAACUGGGGCUAAUACCGGAUAGGAGCUCCUGCUGCAUGGUGGGGGUUGGAAAGUUUCGGCGGUUGGGGAUGGACUCGCGGCUUAUCAGCUUGUUGGUGGGGUAGUGGCUUACCAAGGCUUUGACGGGUAGCCGGCCUGAGAGGGUGACCGGCCACAUUGGGACUGAGAUGCGGCCCAGACGCCUACGGUAGGCAGCAGUGGGGAAUAUUGCACAAUGGGCGGAAGCCUGAUGCAGCAACGCCGCGUGCGGGAUGACGGCCUUCGGGUUGUAAACCGCUUUCGCCUGGGACGAAGCGUGAGUGACGGUAAUGGGUAAAGAAGCACCGGCUAACUACGUG